GGGUGCUUGAGGCUAUCUGCUUCAGGCAUUACCCGAAAAGCAGAUAGAAGAAAGCCCCAGAUAACAUUACGCGUCCUGCAAGACGCUUAACAUUAAUCUGAGGCCAUAUCUAUGCUUAGCAUACGUAGAUUAGCCUCUUACCGACCAAAAGGUCAAGGAGAAGCAGGCUAUGAAG
rnacentral:antisense_RNA from 1 species